UGAAAUCCCCGGGUUCAACCUGGGAAUUGCGUUGUGACUGCAAGGCUUGGAGUGCGGCAGAGGGGGAUGAAUUCCGCGUGUAGCCGUGAAAUGGCGUAGAUAUGCGGAGGAACACCGAUGGCGAAGGCAAUCCCUGGGCCUGCACUGACGCUCAUGCACGAAAGCGUGGGGAAGCAAACAGGAUUAGAUACCCUGGUAGUCCAGCCCUAAACGAUGUCAACUUGGUGUUGGGAAUUUACUUUCUCAGCUAACGAACUUAACGCGUGAAGUUGACCGCCUGGGGAGUACGGCCGCAAGGUUGAAACUCAAAGGAAUUGGGGGGGGAGCCAAAAUG
rnacentral:rRNA from 1 species